rnacentral:misc_RNA from 1 species
GAUGAAGAACGCAGUGAAAUGCGAUAAGUAGUGUGAAUUGCAGAAUUCAGUGAAUCAUCGAAUCUUUGAACGCACAUUGCGCCCCUUGGUAUUCCGAGGGGCAUGCCUGUUCGAGCGUCAUUAUAACCCCUCAAGCUCAGCUUGGUGUUGGGGCCUGCCGCACGGGCAGCCCUUAAAAUCAGUGGCGGUGCCAUCUGGCUCUAAGCGUAGUAAUUCUUCUCGCUAUAGAGUCCCGGUGGAUGCUUGCCAUUAACCCCCAAUUUUCUAUGGUUGACCUCGGAUCAGGUAGGGAUACCCGCUGAACUUAAGCAUAUCAAUAAGCGGAGGA